GAUGAACGCUGGCGGCGUGCCUAAUACAUGCAAGUCGAGCGAACGGACGAGAAGCUUGCUUCUCUGAUGUUAGCGGCGGACGGGUGAGUAACACGUGGAUAACCUACCUAUAAGACUGGGAUAACUUCGGGAAACCGGAGCUAAUACCGGAUAAUAUUUUGAACCGCAUGGUUCAAAAGUGAAAGACGGUCUUGCUGUCACUUAUAGAUGGAUCCGCGCUGCAUUAGCUAGUUGGUAAGGUAACGGCUUACCAAGGCAACGAUGCAUAGCCGACCUGAGAGGGUGAUCGGCCACACUGGAACUGAGACACGGUCCAGACUCCUACGGGAGGCAGCAGUAGGGAAUCUUCCGCAAUGGGCGAAAGCCUAACGGAGCAACGCCGCGUGAGUGAUGAAGGUCUUCGGAUCGUAAAACUCUGUUAUUAGGGAAGAACAUAUGUGUAAGUAACUGUGCACAUCUUGACGGUACCUAAUCAGAAAGCCACGGCUAACUACGUGCCAGCAGCCGCGGUAAUACGUAGGUGGCAAGCGUUAUCCGGAAUUAUUGGGCGUAAAGCGCGCGUAGGCGGUUUUUUAAGUCUGAUGUGAAAGCCCACGGCUCAACCGUGGAGGGUCAUUGGAAACUGGAAAACUUGAGUGCAGAAGAGGAAAGUGGAAUUCCAUGUGUAGCGGUGAAAUGCGCAGAGAUAUGGAGGAACACCAGUGGCGAAGGCGACUUUCUGGUCUGUAACUGACGCUGAUGUGCGAAAGCGUGGGGAUCAAACAGGAUUAGAUACCCUGGUAGUCCACGCCGUAAACGAUGAGUGCUAAGUGUUAGGGGGUUUCCGCCCCUUAGUGCUUCAGCUAACGCAUUAAGCACUCCGCCUGGGGAGUACGACCGCAAGGUUGAAACUCAAAGGAAUUGACGGGGACCCGCACAAGCGGUGGAGCAUGUGGUUUAAUUCGAAGCAACGCGAAGAACCUUACCAAAUCUUGACAUCCUUUGACAACUCUAGAGAUAGAGCCUUCCCCUUCGGGGGGGGCAAAGUGACAGGUGGUGCAUGGUUGUCGUCAGCUCGUGUCGUGAGAUGUUGGGUUAAGUCCCGCAACGAGCGCAACCCUUAAGCUUAGUUGCCAUCAUUAAGUUGGGCACUCUAAGUUGACUGCCGGUGGCAAACCGGAGGAAGGUGGGGAUGACGUCAAAUCAUCAUGCCCCUUAUGAUUUGGGCUACACACGUGCUACAAUGGACAAUACAAAGGGCAGCGAAACCGCGAGGUCAAGCAAAUCCCAUAAAGUUGUUCUCAGUUCGGAUUGUAGUCUGCAACUCGACUACAUGAAGCUGGAAUCGCUAGUAAUCGUAGAUCAGCAUGCUACGGUGAAUACGUUCCCGGGUCU
rnacentral:rRNA from 1 species